AGUGAACGCUGGCGGUAGGCCUAACACAUGCAAGUCGAACGGCAGCACAGUAAGAGCUUGCUCUUACGGGUGGCGAGUGGCGGACGGGUGAGGAGUACAUCGGAAUCUACUUUUUCGUGGGGGAUAACGUAGGGAAACUUACUCUAAUACCACAUACGACCUACGGUUGCAAGCAGGGAAUCUUCGGACCUUGCGCGAUACAAUGAGCCGAUGUCGGGUUAGCUAGUUGGCGGGGGAAAGGCCCACCACGGCGACGAUCCGUAGCUGGUCUGUGAGGAUGAUCAGCCACACGGGAACGGGGACACGGUCCAGACUCCUACGGGAGGCAGCAGUGGGGAAUAUUGGACAAUGGGCGCAAGCCUGACCAAGCCAUACCGCGUGGGUGAAGAAGGCCUUCGGGUGUUAAAGCCCUUUUGUUGGGAAAGAAAAGCAGCAGGUUAAUACCCCGAUGUUCUGACGGUACCCUAAGAAUAAGCAACGGCUAACUUCGUG
rnacentral:rRNA from 1 species